GACGAACGCUGGCGGCGUGCUUAGCACAUGCAAGUCGAACGGAAAGGCCCUGCUUUUGUGGGGUGCUCGAGUGGCGAACGGGUGAGUAACACGUGAGUAACCUGCCCUUGACUUUGGGAUAACUUCAGGAAACUGGGGCUAAUACCGGAUAGGAGCUCCUGCUGCAUGGUGGGGGUUGGAAAGUUUCGGCGGUUGGGGAUGGACUCGCGGCUUAUCAGCUUGUUGGUGGGGUAGUGGCUUACCAAGGCUUUGACGGGUAGCCGGCCUGAGAGGGUGACCGGCCACAUUGGGACUGAGAUACGGCCCAGACUCCUACGGGAGGCAGCAGUGGGGAAUAUUGCACAAUGGGCGGAAGCCUGAUGCAGCAACUCCGCGUGCGGGAUGACGGCCUUCGGGUUGUAAACCGCUUUCGCCUGUGACGAAGCGUGAGUGACGGUAAUGGGUAAAGAAGCACCGGCUAACUACGUG
rnacentral:rRNA from 1 species